UACGAAGGGAGCUAGCGUUGUUCGGAAUCACUGGGCGUAAAGCGCACGUAGGCGGACUUGUCAGUCAGGGGUGGAAUCCCGGGGCUCAACCUCGGAACUGCCUUUGAUACAGCAAGUCUUGAGUUCGAGAGAGGUGGGUGGAAUUCCUAGUGUAGAGGUGAAAUUCGUAGAUAUUAGGAAGAACACCGGUGGCGAAGGCGGCGACCUGGGUAGAUACUGACGCUGAGGCGCGAAAGCGUGGGGAGCAAACAGG
rnacentral:rRNA from 1 species